UCGGAAGCACUGGGCGUAAAGCGCACGUAGGCGGCUUACUAAGUCAGGGGUGAAAUCCUGGAGCUCAACUCCAGAACUGCCUUUGAUACUGGUGAGCUUGAGUCCGGAAGAGGUGAGUGGAACUGCGAGUGUAGAGGUGAAAUUCGUAGAUAUUCGCAAGAACACCAGUGGCGAAGGCGGCUCACUGGCCCGGUACUGACGCUGAGGUGCGAAAGCGUGGGGAGCAAACAGG
rnacentral:rRNA from 1 species